rnacentral:rRNA from 1 species
ACACGACCCCAGGUCAGGCGGGGCCACCCGCUGAGCUUAAGCAUAUCAAUAAGCGGAGGAGAAGAAACUUACCAGGAUUCCCCUAGUAACGGCGAGCGAACCGGGAAGAGCCCAGCUUGGGAAUCGGGCGGCCGCGCCGUCCGAAUUGUAGUCUGGAGAAGCGUCCUCAGCGACGGACCGGGCCCAAGUCCUCUGGAAAGGGGCGCCAGGGAGGGUGAGAGCCCCGUCCGGCCCGGACCCUGCUGCACCACGAGGCGCUGUCGGCGAGUCGGGUUGUUUGGGAAUGCAGCCCCAAUCGGGCGGUAAAUUCCUUGCAAGGCUAAAUACUCCUGGGUGACCGAUAGCGAAGUAGUACCGUGAGGGAAAGGUGAAAAGGACUUUGAAAAGAGAGUCAAAGAGUGCUUGAAAUUGCCGGGAGGGAAGCGGAUGGGGGCCGGCGAUGCGUGCCGGCCGGAUGCGGAACG